GGGGAUGUAGCUCCAUGGUAGAGCAUAUACUUAGCAGGUAUGAGACCCUGGGUUCAAUCCCAAGCACCA
rnacentral:tRNA from 1 species